rnacentral:rRNA from 1 species
AACGAACGCUGGCGGCAGGCCUAACACAUGCAAGUCGAGCGCUCUCUUCGGAGGGAGCGGCGGACGGGUUAGUAACGCGUGGGAACGUGCCCUUCUCUACGGAAUAGCCUCGGGAAACUGGGAGUAAUACCGUAUACGCCCUUUGGGGGAAAGAUUUAUCGGAGAAGGAUCGGCCCGCGUUGGAUUAGGUAGUUGGUGGGGUAAUGGCCUACCAAGCCUACGAUCCAUAGCUGGUUUGAGAGGAUGAUCAGCAACACUGGGACUGAGACACGGCCCAGACUCCUACGGGAGGCAGCAGUGGGGAAUCUUAGACAAUGGGCGCAAGCCUGAUCUAGCCAUGCCGCGUGAGUGACGAAGGCCUUAGGGUCGUAAAGCUCUUUCGCUGGGGAAGAUAAUGACGGUACCCAGUAAAGAAACCCCGGCUAACUCCGUG